ensembl:snoRNA
UCCUUCCAGAUUCCUUCUCUCCCAAACCUGAACAGUGGUCUGAGUGGCUAAAAAAAUAAGGAGGUAAAGUAAAACUGAAAGGGACUUGGCGUCUAGUGUGACAAGUUCAUUUCAAACAAAG